rnacentral:rRNA from 1 species
GGCUAACUCCGUGCCAGCAGCCGCGGUAAUACGGAGGAUGCGAGCGUUAUCCGGAUUUAUUGGGUUUAAAGGGUGCGUAGGCGGCCUGUUAAGUCAGCGGUGAAAUCUAGGAGCUUAACUCCUAAAUUGCCAUUGAUACUGGCGGGCUUGAGUGUAGAUGAGGUAGGCGGAAUGCGUGGUGUAGCGGUGGAAUGCAUAGAUAUCACGCAGAACUCCGAUUGCGAAGGCAGCUUACUAAGGUACAACUGACGCUGAAGCACGAAAGCGUGGGUAUCAAACAGGAUUAGAUACCCUGGUAGUCCACGCAGUAAACGAUGAUAACUGGGCGUAUGCGAUAUACAGUAUGCUCCUAAGCGAAAGCGUUAAGUUAUCCACCUGGGGAGUACGCCGGCAACGGUGAAACUCAAAGGAAUUGACGGGGGCCCGCACAAGCGGAGGAACAUGUGGUUUAAUUCGAUGAUACGCGAGGAACCUUACCCGGGAUUGAAAUGUAGAUGACCGCUCCUGAAAGGGAGUUUUCCUUCGGGACAUCUAUGUAGGUGCUGCAUGGUUGUCGUCAGCUCGUGCCGUGAGGUGUCGGCUUAAGUGCCAUAACGAGCGCAACCCCUGUCUACGGUUGCCAUCAGGUAAUGCUGGGAACUCCGUAGAGACUGCCGUCGUAAGGCGUGAGGAAGGUGGGGAUGACGUCAAAUCAGCACGGCCCUUACAUCCGGGGCGACACACGUGUUACAAUGGUGGGGACAAAGGGCAGCUACCUGGCGACAGGAUGCGAAUCUCCAAACCCCAUCACAGUUCGGAUCGGAGUCUGCAACUCGACUCCGUGAAGCUGGAUUCGCUAGUAAUCGCGCAUCAGCCAUGGCGCGGUGAAUACGUUCCCGGGCCUUGUACACACCGCCCGUCAAGCCAUGGGAGUCUGGAGUACCUAAAGUCCGUAACCGCAAGGGUCGGCCUAGGGUAAUACAGGUGACUGGGGCUAAGUCGUAACAAGGUAGCCGUACCGGAAGGUGCGGCUG